rnacentral:lncRNA from 1 species
GCUCUGUUUUUCCUUUGUACCGAAUACUAUCUAAGCCUAGCAUGGUCUGAUACCAUUGUUAUAUCCAUGGAUCGGGUAGGCUAGAUGAUUUGCGGUACUUCUUACCUUCUCCUUGUGUCUAGAGGGGCUCCGGUUGCCGGCUAUGGCGCCGGUGCCGGUGUGAUGGCAGAGAGUGGUGGUGGCGGUGCUUCCCAUCAGCAUUGCACUAACCCUAGAUCGGUAGGGGAUUAGGUGGGGUGUACGACGUUGCGACGAACCUCGUAAUGAGAGUUGCCGCCCCCACCUCUUUAUAUAGUGCAGGUGACAGGGGCCCGUCAACCAUAGUGGGUUGAGCGCCCCCGAUCAGGGCGCAGAUCUAAGGGCUCGGUGGGCUGUUGGGCCCACACGAUGGAGAUCAUCCUAAUAAGGUGUAGUACUCACAGCGCUCACAACAAGACCUUCCUAGUAGCUCCAGAAGACUGGCAGUGUUUCCACUGACACAAUCCUCCAGAACCCAAACUGAUAUCCGCCAACCAUUACAACGGUCAGUCUCCAUACCAUAUAUGCAUCCCUGAGAUUUCCCAAUGGAAGAAACAUCAGAUUUAGGCGGUUGUCGAAUUGUCCACCAGGUACUCCCAUCCAGGUCCACGGUAACUAUUAGUUUAUUGUAUUACCCUCUGAGUCAAAUGUGUUGUCGCCGGAAUCAUAAGCAAUGGAGUGUAGAGUGCCACCUAAGAAGAAGUAUCCUGAUUCACAGCUAGUUGUCAGAAUUUGGUGACCCCAUCUGCUCGACAUGGAAGUCCAUUUUCCGGCAUCCGAUGAGUAGACCUCUAUCGUGGUAAUGUCAUGAUCAUCAUCGAUGAUGACAAACACCGCGAAGCGAGAGGGAACUGCGGGGUCGAAACACAAGCUAACCAUGCGGCCGUAAGCAUUAGGUUCCGAUGGUUCAUGGCUAUCAGGCCGGGGCAGUGUGGCCCAGAUCUCCUCGGUCGCGGGGUUGCACACGACGUAUUCUCCGCGUCCCGCUCUCAUGCCAUGUCAGAGGAGGAUGCCGCCGCGGUAGCUCAUGAGCGUGACAAAGUGGUAGCCACACGCAGUCGCAAGAAAGAGAAAGAGGGAUCGACCAGCGGCCAGCCUCUACCGGACAGGUUGAGGAAACGGGUGGCGCCGGGGGAAUCGCCAAAGAAGCCGGAGAGCGUCUGGGGCGACCUCCUGCGGACGGCGGGGUCGGAGCACAGCGCGAGCCACGCCGGCGACACGCACUUGAGGCGGCACAGCGACCGGUACGGCACCCGCCACAGGAUCUCCCGGAGGAGGUCGUUGGGGAGGGCCUCCAUCGCCUGCUCCUCCUCCUUCCUCAUCUUCUCCAUCCCGUAUCCGGACUGCCGCUACUGCGAAUGAUAGAGCCGUAGAGGCAGUUUGUUUAGGGUUGAGCUGCGCUCCUCCCAAGUGUCUCUCUUUCACGAUUAGAAGGAAGAGGAGGGAAGCAGACAAGGCUUCAUACCGUGAUCUGGUGAGGGGAUGGAGAGCGACGUCCACUGGAGCGUUCGGUUCGCGGCGGACUUGGCGACCGCGCGGCACGUCACGUUCAACGACGGCGAACUACGAUUGCUCAAGGAGGCGCUUCGGAUCAUGCUCAUCGACGCGCGUGGGAUCACAGUGGAUGCUCGUUACCUCAGAUCUGGUGAGUCGAUUGACAUCGGGGAUAUCGUCUCGUUUCCCUGCCAUUUUGCUAGGGUUUGUGAUCGCCUCCCGUCGAGUGGCGCGGAUUCCGGUGAGGGUGCGCCGCCGUAUGGCCCACCGGGGUACACGGUUCACGGGCGUGGGCGCACGGGUUUGGGAUCGCACCGCCAACCGCCACAUAUGACAAAUGGCCCCGGGGUGCUGGGAUGUGGACCGGUCCUCCAUGGAUUGGAUGCGCGCCACGUGGGUGAGGGGAAAUCAGACCGCCAUGAGAGAGCUGGACCUGGGGCUUCCGGGAGCGCCGCGGGUAUUAAACGUGCGGCCUCUACCCCUUCCCCCAUUUUAGAUCUUGACCAGAGCUUCGCCCACUUCUGGAGCGCUCCGUCUCUCGCCAGAUCUAGGGUUCGUCCAAAUUUCUCCUGGUGGGAAGGCAAAAUCCAUGGUGACCUUCGUUCCUUUGCUCAAGUAGUUGCCUCCCCUCCCGCCACAAAUCCUCCUGCUAGAUCCAAGGGCAACGUGUCUGUUGAGAUGAGAGGGGAUGGCUUUGGUGCGGACCGCCAUGGCCCCGGGGCUGGGCGAUUCGAUCACGGCCGCGGCCGCGACUUCGACUCCAACGUGUGGAAGCGCAAGAUAAAGAUGGGGAGCUCCUCCAUGACCGAUGACAAGUGGGAGAAGGUGGCCGGAGGCCCGCAGGCGAACCACGCCCGGCAAACUCGGUGGGACGGCAACAUUGAUGACCUGCAGGGGUCGCACGAGCCGGCGCUGGUCGAGGGGCAGCAGGCAGCUCCUCCUCCCCGUCAAGAUAGGUGUGGGGGAGACAACGAUGGCAAGAACCCUCGUGCCUUCAACAAGAACAACACCUCUCCGAAGAAUCGCGAGCAUUCUUCAUCCGGUACCAUCGCUCCUCUCUAUGAUAGCUGCCAGAUCUGUCACCUACCUUGGUCAUUUUACUGUCCGUUGCCCGCAAGCAUUUUGUGAGAGAUGUAAGAAGAGAGGCCACCUGUCCAUUGUGUGCAAUGAGUUCUUCCCAUGGGAUCACACACCUGUGAUGUGUGCAUUCCAAUCCAAGGGGCAGGGUUUUUUCUACAUUCCUGAUUUCAGUGUGGACAGACAGGCUAGAGAAAAUAUCUUCAACAUUGUAGUCACUAUAACUGAUGGCUCUGCUCCAACCAAAGAUAUUGAGCAUGAAUUGACUGUUUAUGUUGGACAAGGAUGGCGCUGCUCUGCCAGAUUCUUUGCUCCACAGAAAUUUGUGAUGAGAAUGUCGAACCCUAGGGAAGUUGACAAAGCUCUGUUUGUUGAAAACAUUAAGCUGAAACAGUGUGGUGUUAGUGUCAAGUUCUCUCCCUGGUCUGAGGAUAUUGACUCUGAGGGUCUGCUGGAGAUCGCCUAGGUUAGGAUUGGAAAAAUUCCACCUAAUAAGAGAUGUGACAAAACUAUAGCUUAUGUGAGAGGCCUAGUUGGGAUCACUCUGGAAGUUGAUAUGUCAACUAUCAAUCGCCCCUCGUCUGUCAAGGCUAAGAUUGGAUGUCGUUUGAUUGCCCAACUCCCUGCCACUGCUGAAGGAGUGCUUGUAGGACGUUUCUAUAGAUUCACUUACGAGGUUGAGGAGGUUUUGGUCAGAAAUCCUGUUGAGCAAGAAAUUGUGGAUCCCAUCCCUGAUGAAAGAACCAAACCAGACCAAACCCCUAAAAGGAAGCGUGUUGAACAAGAUAAAGGAGAAACUCAUAGUGAAUCUGCUGGGCGUAGUGCCCCUGGGGGAUCUUAUCGUGGUGGCAAGGCCUAUCGCCUGCUAUGCGAUGAAAAAGAUGGAUCUAUUUCCUCUGAGAGUGAUACAGACAACUCCUUGCUUAUCGAAACCAUGCAAAGAGAGAUUGAUGAAAAAAGACAUGAGAAGUGUGGGGGCUCAUCGAACUGGAUUGUUCCCAUGAACCCUGAUGUUGCUGAGUCCUCUAUCCAAGAUAUUCAGGUGACAAAUGCUACUCAUAACAAAAAAUUUAUGCCUUGCCGAACUGUUUCUAACCUGUCUCAGAUUGUGGAGGUGACUGGUGAGGUGGACCCUGGACUAAAAACUUCAAGCAGCUACAUGGUACAACUACCAUCUUCUUAAAGUGUGGAGGAAAUCAUACUUACCCCUCCACUAGCACCUGAGGCUCCACUGAGAUUCAGCAAGCGUAAUGCUCCUGGAAUGCAGGACAAGGCCAGAAAACUUGCCAGCAAGAAAAUUUUGGAAGGUAACACUUCACCUGCUCAUAAAAAUUCUUUUGAUGUCCUGUCUAAUAAUGAAAUGAUUAGUAGGGCUAGCAAGAUGGGGGUAGAUAUACCUGAUGAUAAUUUUACUACUGUUGACAUUAUCAGAGAACUAGAAUGUGCUAGAAAAGAGCUAGAGGACAAAAAGAAGACUGAUACCACUAGUCAGGUGCCUGAUGACCUAGUGGUGGUUGAUGGUCUGGGUAGGAACACCCCUAUGAACUUAGAGUGGCUAGACCAAGAAGAACAUAUAUAUGAACAAAUCUCUUCUAUCAAAUCUAGAAAGAAAAAGCAGCAUAAAUCUGUUGUGAAGGUUCCUAGGCCUGUGACUAGGAGCCAGAAGAAAAAGAAUUCUGACAAUAAUCCUUUAGGUAGCCCUGCUCCGUCUCCUGGCAGGGUUACUCGAGCCAAAUUCCAUAAAAAAUCGUUCCAAAUGAGAGGUCUCAUUUGGAACUGUCGGGGGGUAGGCAAGAAAGGAAUGGCCACCUGCCUCUCAGACAGGAUCACUGACCAUUCCCUGGAUUUUCUGGGGUUGAAGGAAACUAUGAAGAAAGACCUCACUCCUAAAUGCUUGAGAAGGAUUGAUCCCUUUGACAUAUUUCAAUGGGACUGGGUGCCUUCUGUAGGCAAAUCUGGGGGGAUCCUGUGCGGUGUGAGGAGAGAUACAUUAGAAGUAAUUUCUUGUUCUAAGGGCAAAUAUGUGCUCCAAAUGGUGCUUUUUGACAAGAAGAAAAAGUUUCAGUGGGGAUUGUUAGUGUUCUAUGGGUCAGCACACGAUGAAUUCAAAAAUGAAUUCUUGAUUGAACUAGCUACCUCAUGUAGUGGCGUGAGUGUGCCCUACAUAGUGGGGGAGACUUUAAUAUUUUGAGGCACCCUGGCGAGAAGAAUAAAAAAUGGGAAACAAUAAAGCUACUGACCUAUUCAAUUCCAUCAUCAAUACUCUAGCCCUUCGAGAAAUACACAUUAGUGGGGGUAAGUAUACAUGGACCAACAAUCAGGCUCACCCCACCGUGGAAAAGCUAGAUCGCAUCCUGAUGUCCGAAAGUUGGGAAGAUGCUUUCCCAAUGGUUUCUGUGAGGAAAUUAGUUCAAGAAAUCUCUGACCAUAACCCCUUGUUUCUCUCCUCUGGGGAAGAAGGGCGCGAAGUGCCAAACCCUCGAGAAUUUCGUUUUGAUCUUUCAUGGCUCAAAGAUGACAGCUUCUUGCCCACUGUUGGGAGAAUCUGGGCUAGGAAAGUUGCAUCGACCGACCCAAUAGAUGUAUUGAAUAUCAAGUUGAAAAGAUUUAAGACCUACUUCAAAGGGUGGGGCUCGGACAAAUAUGGGCACAAUAAGAGAAGAAAAGAGGAGCUUCGCAUAGAAUUGUCUAUGCUGGAGGAACUAGAAGAGGAGGAUAUGUUGCCCCCUGACCUGUACGGUAGUAAAGUUGAUAUUAGUGCUGAGCUCUAUGAGCUUUUGGUGAACGAGGAAAUUUUUUGGCUUCAACAAUCCCACGAGCGUUGGCUCCUCAAAGGGGAUUUAAACACUGACUACUAUCAUAAAAUUGCCAAUGGGCAAAAACGCAAAAACACAAUCCAAUCACUCAGGGUGGGUGAGACAGUGAUUAAGGGCACAGAUAACCUAAUUUCUCACGCUACUAAGUUUUACAAAGAGCUAUUUGGCCCAGAUCCUGGUAACCAACUUCACCUUGAUCCGGGUACCUGGUCGGCUGAGGAGAAAUUAAAUGAGAAGGAUAACAUUGAUCUUUGUCGUGCUUUCACAAAACAGGAGGUUAGGGAAGCCCUGUUUGACAUGGCUCCCAACAGGGCUCCUGGACCCGGUAACAUCCCGGCCGAAUUCUACCAGGUGUGUUGGGAGAUUGUUAAAGAUGACAUUAUGGCCUUGUUUGAUCAUUUCCACCAAGGGAAACUGGAUGUGCAGCGGCUUAACUACGGGAUUAUUACCCUUCUCCCAAAAACCUCUGGGCUGAGAAAAUCCAGCAGUACAAACCCAUUUGUUUGUUGAGAUGCCCAUAUAAAGUGAUUACGAAAGUCCUUGAUCGUAGAGUGGCUAUCUAUGCGGAUAAACUCAUCAGCCCUACCCAGAAUGCAUUUGAUAAAGGCAGAAACAUUAUGGAUGGUGUCCUGUCUCUUCAUGAAAUUCUUAACUACACAUAUGUGAAGAAAAGAGUGGGGAUUGUCCUUAAACUGGAUUUUGGAAAAGCCUAUGACAAGGUUAAUUGGGACUUUCUCCUAGAAUGUCACAAGAUGCGAGGUUUCAAUGAUACUUGGUGCAGGUGGGUUAAACAAAUCCUCUACAAUGGGACUGUUAGUAUUAAACUUAACAGCAAUGUUGGCCCGUAUUUUCAAAGUAAGAAAGGGGUCCGCCAGGGGGACCCCCACUCCCCUUUUUUAUUCAACGUGGCUGUUGAGUGCCUCACCAAAAUGAUUAAAAAUGCUCAGAAAAAUAAGCUGAUAGUGGGCCUAGCUUCCAAUCUUAUUCUUGAUGGGGUGGCGGUCCUUCAAUACGCAGAUGGCACCAUCAUCUACAUAGAAGAUGACAUUGACAAAGCAAUCAACCUGAAGUUGUUGCUGUACAUGUUUGAGAUGAUGUCUGGCCUGAAAUUAACUUUCAGAAGAGCGAAAUUCUUACUGUAUGUGGAAAUGAGACUAUUGUCAAUAAAUAUGCUGAGAUAUUCGACUGUGAGGUUGGAAGUUUCCCACUUAAAUAUCUAGGCAUGCAUUUCAGUUAUGCUAACCUGAAAACCUCUGAUUGAGAAUUCAUUGUUAGCAAAUACUUAAAGAGGUUCGAUGCCUGGAUUGGCAAUGCUGCCUCGAUGGGGGGGGGGAGACACACCCUGCUUGAUUCGGUGGUCACACAGCUCUCCCUAUACCACAUGUCGAUGUGGCUAAUGAAUAAAACCUUCAUUGAAAGGCUAGACAAACACAGACGCCGUUUCUUUUGGCAAGGAUGUAACGAAAAGAAAAGAUACUAUCUUGUCAAGUGGAGUAGAAUAUGUAGAUCCAGAGACAAAGGGGGUUUAGGCAUAAAAGACCUCUGGAAGCAAAAUAUUAGUCUCAUGGUUAAAUGGUGGUGGAAGCUAGAGACUCAGAAUGGGUUGUGGCAAGAUAUCGUCCGUGCCAGAUAUCUCUGCAACAAAUCUGUUGCUGAUGUUACCCCCAAGUUCUCUGAUUCGCCUUGCUGGAAAAACCUGCUUAAAGUGAAAGACAUAUAUAUGAUGGGCAGGAAAAUUGAGAUUGGGGCUGGAAACUUGACAAGAGUGUGGAAAGAUCCAAUGAAUGGGAUGCUCCCAUUGCAGGAUCAAUACCCAGGUUUGUUUGGGAUCUGCAACCGUCCCGGAUAGCACCCUGGACAAGAGAAAUGAGCUUGAGUCCACCUCUAUUUUCAGGCGUAGGCUCACCCCUGAAUUGUCUGGACAGUGGGAAACCUUGUGUGCUACUAUUAAAAACAUCCCUCUGACUGAGAAAAGUGAUCGAGUUUUUUGGAGCCUUAACCAAAACGGCAAGUUCACGACCAAAUCAGUCUACAAGAUGCUGGAAAGACCUCUUAGUGGAUGCCAUUACAAGUGGAUUUGGAGAGCCAAAAUCCCUCUGAAGAUCAAAAUCUUUCUCUGACAAUUAUCACAAGACGCGGUGCUCAUGAGGCAAGUCAUGAAAAAGAGAAAAUGGCCAUGAAACCGGUGCUGCUCCUUCUAUAAAGAGCUGGAGACAGCCCAGCAUCUCUUUUUUACUAGCCCUGUGGCCAGGGUAGUAUGGCGAUCCAUUAUGGUGGUGCUGGGCACUGACAAGUGCCCCACAAACUUCUGGCAAUAUUUCGUGUGGUGUCACAAAUUUCUUCCCGGGAAGAAGUCUUUUUACACGGUGGGCCUAAAGGCCACCUGUUGGGCUAUAUGGUUGGCACGCAAUUGGGUCACUUUUGAAAAAAAAUCAAGACUCCUUUUAAGAUUGUGUUUUCUCUAUGCUCCUUUCUGUUAUACUGGACAGGUCUACAGCAAGGGGAUGCCGCCAGGGAGCUGCGUACGGGAGCAGAGAUGAUCAGGGCUAGCACAAUGCAGCUGAUGAAGAUGCGCGACGCCGCCAAGCAAACGACCCAGGGCGCCUGAUGCUUCCAAGGUGCUGCAGUUGAAGAAGAUGGAUGGCUCGAGCCGUUUACCUGUUGGCGUUUCUACCUAGAGAUGUUUUCUACCUGACUGGCAAAAUUCUAUGACCGAUCUAGUUUGAUCUUUUGAGCCUGUAAUAAGAUAGACUUUAUAUUCGUGCUACUCAGGUUUUCGCUCCGCAGCAUUUGUUUCGACGGCGAGCGAGUGCGGUGGGUUUCCUGGUAGUGCGGGAACUCGCUCUACCUCUUUCCCUCCUCCUGUUUUCUCUGUUUGGAAUUGGUUGUAUUUUUGUUCUAUGCAAUGGAAAGGGGUAAAGCCCGGUUCUAAAAAAAGAGGAGGGCAGCAGACUUGGAGUGCGACGUGAAUGGCGGCGAUGAACGAGACACGGCGGCGGAGCUGAAGCCGGACGGGAGACGCGAAACGGAGUAUAGAGCCAAGAAAAAGGCCAAGUUUGAGGCCCAAAGUGGACCUGAUUUUUCUUUAGGUUCCAAAAAAGUGGAUCUGAUUGCAGAGGCCUCUCCUAGUCCACCAAAGCGGAUCUGAUGGCAGCCGAUUUUAACAUCUAAUGGGUGAAUUGUUAGAUGUGUAUAGUUCAUUCUGUACAUUCCCAUUGUAUAAGGGGCCUUUCUGCACUUUACCACAUUUGUAUAUGUACUGGCCAUUGGCCCUCAGUAAAUCUUAGUUGUUAUUUAUCCAACAUGGUAUCAGAUGUUAGGUUCCCCUCUCUCCCGCACGCUGCAACUCCAUGCUAGCUCCUCCCCUCGAUCUUGCUCUCCGGCUGCCGCUGCUCUCUCUCUGUCUCGCCGUGGAUCCUGUCGCCCUUGGCCCGUCCCCUGCACAGCUCGCUCCAGGCUUCCCCCGGCCUCCCCGUCUACAGCCAGGACCGGCCUGGUCGCCAUUGUCCCCUGACCGGCCGGCCGCCCCUGCACCAAGCUCCGCUCGGUCCCAUUCGCCGCGGAUCCGGCUGUCUCCGCCGCGGAUCGGGCCUCCCCGCCCCCCUGGUCCCGUCCGCUGCUCCCUGCGGGCUGGUCGCCGCCGCCUGGUUUCUUCACUCCGGCUGGGGCCAGCUCCUCAGGGCCAGCCCGUCCCGCGCCCAUCUCCUGCUCGGCCGGGAGCCCCUGCCUCGCUCGCUCUGGCUGGGGCUCGGGCCUUGUUCCCCAUCGCCCGUGCGUGAGGGCUCGCACCUCUGCCGCUUCCUCGAUCCAGAUCGACUCUUGAGAAGUUGACUCCAAAAAAAAAGAGGGACAGCCAGUUUGUCAUGUCCUCUCCGGGCUAUGUUGCUGUUCCUCGCUGUUCGGUGAUCUUCGAUGGCACCAACUAUGCUGAGUUUGUGGGCUUCAUGUGCAUUCAUAUGCGUGGACUCCUUCUGUGGGGUGUUCUCUCUGGCGAGGUCCCUUGUUUGCCAUGCCCGGUUGCGCCAGUGGCCUCAAUUCCACCAGUGCCGCCGGUCCUUGCUGUUGAUCCUUCUCAGGUUGACCGGGAUGCUGUCAAGGCUCUGGAUGAUGCUACGGUUGAUGCUUAUGAUCAACAGGUAUCUUCUUAUUCUGAUGCUCUCUCUGUCUACCGGGAUGAUCUGUUUGCUUACACUCAGUGGUGCAAUGAUGAUGCUCGAGCUGCCGCUAUUCUCACUAUGAGUGUUCUCCCUCAGUUUGCCUCCGAGUUCAUGGGACUUGACACAGUUGCAACAAUGUGGUCUUAUCUUUGUCAGCGCUAUCAGCCCUCUGGUGAUGCUCUCUAUCUCUCUGUGGUGCGUCAGGAGCACGCCCUCCAACAAGGUGAUUCCUAUGUUGAUGAGUUCUAUUCACAGUGCUCUGCCAUCUGGCGUCGGCUUGACUCUCUUCGGACAGUUGUUUGUGGCACCUGUCGUUGAUGUCAGACUACUCGGUCUGAUCUGGAGUUUCAGCGGGUCCAUGAGUUCUUAUCUCGUCUCCGCUCUGAGUUUGAGCCCAGACGUGCUCACUUGCUUGCUCGUGGUCAUGUUCCGAUCUCGAAGGUGCUUGCUGAGCUUCGUGCUGAGGAGACCCGCCUUCGCUCUGCUGGUUUGCUGGUGGUUCCGUCUGUGUUGGCUGCUCGGGCUCCUGUGUCGUCUGCUUGGCUCACCGCUCCACCGCUCCUCCCCACACCUUCAGGGGGGUGAGUCGGCCUGCUUAUACUGAGAGGGGCCGGUCGCGCCGUGACACCUUCUGUGGCUACUGCUCUCGGCCCGGUCACCCUGAGUCUAAUUGCCGUGAGAAGAAGUGAGACCAGCUGCGCUCCUCUUCUAGUGGGACUCCUGGAUCUUCCUCGACUCCGUCACUCACUGACCAGGACAUUGUGAGGCUCAAACGCCUCCUAGCUUCCUCAGGCUCUUCAUCGACUGGUUCAGCUGCUGCUGUGACUGCAGCCACCUCUCCACCACCGCAGGCAUCCACACAGUCAGGUACAUCUUCAUGGGUUUUGGAUUCUGAAGCCUCUUUCCAUAUGUCUUCUGAUUCUUCUGUGUUGUCUUCUCUCCGAUCUCUUGAUUCGCCUGUUAAUAUUCUUACCGCCGAUGGCACACCUCUUCCUGUUGCUAGUCGUGACCUUCUUUCCACUCCCUCUUUUUCUGUUCCUAGUGUUUCACAUGUUCCUCGUCUUACCAUGAAUCUGUUUUCCGCUGCCCAACUUACUGAUUCUGGUUGUCGUGUCAUCCUUGAUACCGACUCUUGCUCCACUCAGGAUCGACGCACCAAGGCUUUGGUUGGUGCUGGCCCCCGGCGCCGUGAGUCAGAGGGCCUUUGGGAGGUUGACUGGCUUCGUGUUCCUUCCACUGCCACCACUCCUCCCGGCUUCCAUGCUCUUGCUGCAUCUUCGUCUAGGUCCUUCCAGCAGUGGCAUCAUCGCCUUGGUCACAUAUGUGGCUCUCGCUUGUCUUCCUUAGUUCGUCAGGGCCUCUUGGGUUCUGUAUCUGGAGAUGUUUCUUUACAUUGUAAUGGUUACAGACUUGGCAAACAGACCCAGUUGCCUUAUCCUACCGGUGAGUCGGUAUCUCAGCGACCUUUUGACUUAGUUCAUUCUGAUGUUUGGGGUCCUGCCCCCUUUGAUUCGAAGGUGGUCAUCGCUAUUAUAUCUUGUUUAUUGGUGAUUUCUCUCGCUACACCUGGCUCUACUUCAUGAAAACUCGUAGCGAGGUUCUCUCUAUAUACAACCAUUUUGCUGCCAUGGUUCACACCCAGUUUUCCAUGCCCAUUCGUACUUUUCGUGCUGACUCCGCUGGUGAGUUUAUCUCUCAUCUGUUGCAUGGUUUUCUUGCGGAACAGGGUACUCUUGCCCAGUUCUCAUGUCCUAGUGCUCAUGCUCAGAACGGCGUUGCCGAACGUAAGCAUCGUCACCUACUUGAAACAGCUCGUGCACUGAUGAUUGCCGCUUCACUUCCGCCUCACUUUUGGGCUGAAGCUGUUUCUGCAUCUACUUAUCUCAUCAACAUUCAGCCAUCGACUGCUUUGCAGGGUGGUAUUCCUAUGGAGUGUCUCACUGGACGUUCCCCUGACUUCUCCGCUCUUCGGAUGUUUGAAUGUGUGUGUUAUGUUCUUCUUGCUCCACGAGAACGCACCAAACUGACUGCUCAGUCGGUUGAGUGUGUCUUUCUUGGCUACAGUGCUGAGCACAAGGGCUAUCGAUGUUGGGAUCUUGUGGGUCAUCGCUUGCGCAUCUCGCGUGAUGUGACUUUUGACGAGUCUCGUUCUUACUACCCACGUUCUUCUUCCUCGAGUUUCUCCGUGGACGACAUUUCUUUCCUACUCCUUCCUGACACACCCGGCUAUGUGCCUCAUGUGGCACCUCUUCCUCUGGCACCUCUCAUUCCUUCUCAUUCCUCACCGACACCGUCUUCUUCAUCCUCCUCCUCCACUUCUCCACCUUCAUAUCCAGUCCGUCGCCCUCUCUCACCGUUUCCUCUCCACUAUACUCGCCGAUCUCGUCGUGAGAAUGUCUUCUCUAACGAGCCUUCCUCAUCUGGCGCACCUCCUCUCCCGCCUCCCCCGGUUCACAACCUUCAUGCUCGGCCUCGCCCUCCACCUGAUCGCUACUCCCCUGAUCGGUAUGGUCUCUCUGCUAUUGUUGAGCCCACUUCCUACCGAACUGCCAUGAAUCAGCCUGAAUGGCAACUUGCGAUAGCCGAAGAGCUUGCUGCUCUUGAGCGCUCUAGCACAUGGGAUCUGGUUCCCCUUCCUUCUGGUGUCCGUCCCAUCACCUGCAAGUGGGUCUACAAGGUUAAGACUCGCUCCGAUGGUUCUCUUGAGCGCUACAAAGCUCGUCUUGUGGCCCGUCGUUUUCAGCAAGAGCAGGGGCGUGAUUAUGAUGAGACAUUCGCGCCUGUGGCCCACAUGACCACUGUCCGCACUCUUCUUGCUAUGGCUUCUAUUCGCGAGUGGUCUAUCUCUCAACUUGAUGUUCAAAACGCUUUUCUGAAUGGCGAGUUGCGUGAGGAGGUUUAUAUACAGCCACCACCGGGGUACUACGCUCCUGAUAGUAUGGUCUGUAGACUUCGCCGCUCCCUCCAUGGUCUUAAGCAGGCCCCUUGUGCCUGGUUUGAGCGCUUUGCCUCUGUGGUGACUGCAGCUGGUUUCUUGCCCAGUGAUCAUGAUCCCGCGUUGUUUGUUCACACGUCUCCUCGUGGUCGGACUCUUCUCCUCCUCUAUGUUGAUGACAUGAUCAUCACUGGUGACGACCUUGAUUAUAUUGCCUUUGUUAAGGCUCGCCUUCGCGAUCAGUUCCUCAUGACUGAUCUUGGUCCACUUCGCUACUUUCUUGGGAUUGAGAUCUCCUCGACCUUUGAUGGCUUCUACAUCUCCCAAGAAAAAUAUAUUCAGAAUCUUCUUGCUCGCGCUGCUCUCGGUGAUGAGUGUACAGUUGUGACUCCUAUGGAGCUCAACGUUCAGCUUCAUGCCUCUGAUGGUGACCCUCUUCCUAACCCCACUCGCUAUCGUCAUCUUGUUGACAGUCUUGUCUAUCUUGCCGUUACGCGUCCUGACAUCUCCUAUCCUGUCCACAUCCUGAGUCAGUUUGUUUCAGCCCCCACCUCUGUCCACUAUAGUCAUCUCCUCCGUGUUCUACGAUAUCUUCGUGGCACGAUCUCUCAGCGCCUUUUCUUUCCCCGCUCCAGCUCUCUUCAGCUCCAGGCCUACUCUGAUGCUUCUUGGGCCAGUGGUCCCUCUGAUCGACGCUCGUUGUCUGCUUACUGUGUCUUUCUCUCUUAUUGCCUGGAAGACAAAGAAGCAGACUGCAGUUUCUCGCUCGAGCACAGAGGCUGAGUUGUGAGCCAUGGCUAUGUUGACGGCUGAGGUGAUAUGGUUAUGGUGGUUACUUAAGGAUUUUGGUGUGUCUGCUCCUACCUCCACUCCUCUACUGUCUGACAGCACUGGUGCUAUCAGUAUUGCGCGUGACCCGGUGAAGCAUGAGCUCACCAAGCACAUCGGCGUGGAUGCCCACUUUGUGCAUGCUGCUGUGCAGGAUCAGACUCUCGCUCUUCACUAUGUGCCCUCGGAGUUACAGUUGGCUGACUUCUUCACUAAGGCACAGACUCGAGCACAACACGGGGUUUUCCUCUCCAAACUCAGUGUUGUUGAUCCACCAUGAGUUUGAGGGGGGGGGGGUGUUAGAUGUGUAUAGUUCAUUCUGUACAUCCCCAUUGUAUAAGGGGCCUUUCUACACUUUACCACAUCUGUAUAUGUACUGUCCAUUGGCCCUCAGUAAAUCUUAGUUGCUGUUUAUCCAACAUGAAUAUCUAGGGACCUCCUAUUUCACCAAAAUUAUUUUCUUACAUUUUUUCCUUUUUUUAGUUUUUCCUAUUCUAGCUCGUAUCCUCUCCCUAUUAGACCAUUCAAAAUCUGCAUUUUAUUGUUGUGAGAGAACGUACACUUUUUUUUACUGUUUGUCGAUGAGCAAGGAUAUGCACUCGGAGUGAGAGGCGAUGCAGAUGCGCCUGGACAUCAUUACCAACUUGAGUGCCUAAACUUCAGAGUAGUGCGCCGUUAUGAGCUCGAGCAAGCACUAUAAAGGAUAAUGGCCAAGAGCGUUAUUUAAGAGAUUCUGUGGUUGUAGGAGAUUUGAGCCUCAUAACUGCAUGAUCGCCUGAUUGAAUCGUGAUAAAUGACUAACAACCGGCAUGGGACAACCUAUAUAAAGGGUCAAAUCCCCGCUUUAAGGACACAAGAUACAUGAAGCAUAUACUUGUAUCAUACAUAGCUCAGCAGAAAAAUUCAUGCGGGUAUCCNNNNNNNNNNNNNNNNNNNNNNNNNNNNNNNNNNNNNNNNNNNNNNNNNNNNNGGGGGGGGGUGAUGUGCGUAUGAUCGGAGCUUGCAAAGCCUCGUAACACAAAAUGAAUGAAAAAUUCAUGCGGGUAUCCUCUCCCUAUUAGACCAUUCAAAAUCUGCAUUUUAUUGUUGUGAGAGAACGUACACUUUUUUUUACUGUUUGUCGAUGAGUAAGGAUACGCACUCGGAGUGAGAGGCGAUGCAGAUGCACCUGGACAUCAUUACCAACUUGAGUGCCUAAACUUCAGAGUCGUGCGCCGUUAUGAGCUCGAGCAAGCACUAUAAAGGAUAAUGGCCAAGAGCGUUAUUUAAGAGAUUCUGUGGUUGUAGGAGAUUUGAGCCUCAGAACUGCAUGAUCGCCUGAUUGAAUCGUGAUAGAUGACUAACAACCGGCAUGGGACAACCUAUAUAAAGGGUCAAAUCCCCGCUUUAAGGACACUAGAUACAUGAAGCAUAUACUUGUAUCAUACAUAGCUCAGCAGAAAAAUUCAUGCGGGUAUCCUCUCCCUAGGGGGGGGGGUGAUGUGCGUAUGAUCGGAGCUUGCAAAGCCUCGUAACACAAAACGAAUGAAAAAUUCAUGCGGGUAUCCUCUCCCUAUUAGACCAUUCAAAAUCUGCAUUUUAUUGUUGUGAGAGAACGUACACUUUUUUUUACUGUUUGUCGAUGAGUAAGGAUACGCACUCGGAGUGAGAGGCGAUGCAGAUGCACCUGGACAUCAUUACCAACUUGAGUGCCUAAACUUCAGAGUCGUGCGCCGUUAUGAGCUCGAGCAAGCACUAUAAAGGAUAAUGGCCAAGAGCGUUAUUUAAGAGAUUCUGUGGUUGUAGGAGAUUUGAGCCUCAUAACUGCAUGAUCGCCUGAUUGAAUCGUGAUAGAUGACUAACAACCGGCAUGGGACAACCUAUAUAAAGGGUCAAAUCCCCGCUUUAAGGACACAAGAUACAUGAAGCAUAUACUUGUAUCAUACAUAGCUCAGUAGAAAAAUUCAUGCGGGUAUCCUCUCCCUAGGGGGGGGGGAGGUGAUGUGCGUAUGAUCGGAGCUUGCAAAGCCUCGUAACACAAAAUGAAUGAAAAAUUCAUGCGGGUAUCCUCUCCCUAUUAGACCAUUCAAAAUCUGCAUUUUAUUGUUGUGAGAGAACGUACACUUUUUUUUUACUGUUUGUCGAUGAGUAAGGAUACGCACUCGGAGUGAGAGGCGAUGCAGAUGCACCUGGACAUCAUUACCAACUUGAGUGCCUAAACUUUAGAGUCGUGCGCCGUUAUGAGCUCGAGCAAGCACUGUAAAGGAUAAUGGCCAAGAGCGUUAUUUAAGAGAUUCUGUGGUUGUAGGAUAUUUGAGCCUCAUAACUGCAUGAUCGCCUGAUUGAAUCAUGAUAGAUGACUAACAACCGGCAUGGGACAACCUAUAUAAAGGGUCAAAUCCCCGCUUUAAGGACACAAGAUACAUGAAGCAUAUACUUGUAUCAUACAUAGCUCAGUAGAUAGGAAAAACACCAUUAUAAUCAUCCAUGAUCAUCAAUAAAGACAGGUAGGCAUGCCGUAGAGUUGCCACCCAUCUGGGGCCUGAACCGAGGUGAAACCACGGUGUCACCAUCGUUACGGACGAGACCCCUUCAGGCACCACCCCUCUCUCUCCAUUCUUUCAUGGCAACCUUCAAAUUGUAAAAUCGGCAAACCGUUAUUCAUUGACAUUUGGCGCCCACCAUGGGGCAUAGAUGGAUCUCUGUCGUCAACUCUCCCACUAGAGGAAGCAUCUCCUAACGGAUACCAUUCCAAAGAACCUUGAGCUAGGGACUCCGUCGGCGAUGAUUUCAACAAAAAAUGGGUUAUCCAUAGAUGCCAUCACUUUGGAAGAAGAGAUCGACUUCGACACCUUUGAUGAUGACCUCCUCGUUGAAAUCCCAGUCACUUCGCCUCGACCCUCUUUUCUGGGUUUUGGAAAAUUUUGGGGCUCAUCAACCGGGUUUUGAUUUUUUAUUUGGUGCAUAUAGAUCAAGUAUAUUGCUUGGUUGUCAUUUUUUACCUUUGACUGGCAUUAGUAGUUUCUUUUCAAGAGAGUAAGAAACCAAAUAAUGAUAUUCCGUAGUUUUUUCUAGAGAGGAUGAUAUUAGUAGUUGGAUAUGACUGUAGGUGCACAAGCACAUACAACACAUGCACUCAUGUCCAUCGAUCACUACGGUUAUGUCAUGCUUAUAAAAAGGGACGAGUUUGUUGAAUCCAAAUGAUCUUAGCCAUUCAAUCAUCUAUAUCCAAUGACCCAUGUUGCUCUAAGAGCAUCUCUAACAGUUGUAAGAUAGGUGUUGGUAAAUUCACCACCUAGGACAUCAUGAUUAUGACAUACAAUAAAUGAGGAUAGAGAGAGAGCGAGCAAAGUUGUACGUAAAUUAACCAACAACACUUGCACAAGCUUGAAGAUAAAAUAGAGAGCAAUCACAAUUUUUUUUCACCUCCUAUUGGAAGACUUAGAUAUAACUCAUUUGAAUAGUUGUAUGUUAGUUGUUGGUCGAUGACAUAAUCAUUUUACGAAUAAGACUUACACACAACCUGUUGGAGAUGCCCAAACAGUGACGGAGACGGGGAGACCAGCAGGGGCCCUGGACCCCCUCCCCCUAACAUCCCUGAUUUAGUCCUAAUUUGAAGAUGAACAAUGUAUAAUUUAGGAAAAAUACAUGUAUAUUACUGUAAUUUGGCCCCUGUUAUCAAAAUUUCAACUCAUUUGCCCCUCUGAUUUUUAAUUCCUGGCUCCGCCACUGUGCCCAAAUGAUGUGUGCAACACAUAACCGUCGAUCUAAGGCUGCUUGUAAUGGGUAGUAUCAUAAGUUAGCAUCAUGCAUACGAUAUUAGUGUAUGAUGCUACCUUCCUAAUGUGUAGUGUCGUAUAUAGACAUAUUUUAAAGCGUAGAUUCACUCAUUUUGCUUUGUAUGUAGUCCAUAAUGAAGUAUCUAAUAACUGCAAUUAUCUGAAACCAAUAUUAAUUGCAUUAACUGUAGAUAAUCUUGGAAAUGGCAUUAGUUACAGAAUCAAUCGCAACUAUUUUGGGGACAACAUUAAUUUCAUGAAUGACAACCAAUAUUGAAAGGGGGACGCUAGGCGUCGGCCCGGCAGAUUUUUUAAAAAUAUCUGCCGGCUCGGCAGCCGUUAGAUCUAGUGUCAACCUAUGAUCCAGACGCGUUCUUACAAUUGCAACAAUGACGGUGUUGCGAAAACUUUCGCAACAGAUGUCAUGUUAUGGAAACUUUUGCAACAAAGCUCGUGUUGCAGAAAGUUUUGCAACAGAGUUCCUGUUACAUAAUGUUUCUGCAACCGAGGUCCUGUUACAGAAAAAAAAAUGGAACUUUUUUUGCACCAUUUUUUGCAACAUAGAUCCUGUUGCAGCAUCUCAUUGUAACACAACAUGUGUUACAAAAAAGCACCUUGAGUGAUAAUUCACUGCAGCGAACACACAACGCUUCUAAGCCAAGGAGAUAAGACUAACUGUGACCUGAAGAAAGACGCAUGGCGAUUGGAGCAGGCGAUAGAUGCAGCCGAGUGAUCCGCCGGUUGAUUAUUAGCAUUUCCCAUAUUGGAAACAACAUUAGCUGCUGCGCAAAGAAGCUAAGACCGAAAGACGCAACACAUCUUCGAGCGCGCGGUGUCUCUUCCGCCAAUUGAAAAUGGCCACGACAAUACCGACACACUUCAUACCUUGUAUUCAUAUAUCUAAACGCUCUUAUAUUUUUUUACGGAGGGGGUACAAAAUGUGUUGCCGGGUCCAUCACAUGACAUGACGCGGAUCCGAGAGGAGAGGCGACGGCUUCUUCCGAGGAUGUUUCCUCGGCAGCGGCGGCGGAGAACCGGCGCCCAUCACCAACGUAAAACGCCAUCCACACCACACGAGCCGGUCAAAAACGGCUCACUGACGUCCCGGAUCCACCCGCCGGCGCCGGGUCGACGCAUCCGCCUCGCCUCGCCUCACCAACUCGGCACGCCCUAUCACCAACCCACACUGACAACUUAUUAAUUCGGCCACAUCGCCGCCUGUCCCAGCCAGCCAGUCCAACCCGCCCGCCGUCCAACACCCCGCGCGCACACCACCGCCGCCGCCGUCGACCCCUUCCUCCCUCGCACCCAUGGCGUUCGCACUCAAGGCCUCCGCCUCCCCCGCCCUCGCCGCUGCCUCCUCGGCGGCGUCGUCCCCCUCCUUCUCGGCCGCCUCCGCGGCGCCGAGGGGCCGCGCCGCCGCGGCGAGGAGGGUCUCGCUCCGCGGGGCCGCGCACCCCGUUGCCGCCAUCAGGGCGUCCGCCACCGCCGUGGCCGGGGACAAGCGCACCAUCUCCGGCACGUUCACCAACCUCAAGGAGCAGGGCAAGGUAAAGAUAAUUCUUACCGCCCCGACGACUGCGCGUGUUUUGAUUCCGUCGAUUAGGCCGCAGACGGCCAUCCUCAUGGUGACAGUAAAAAGAUAAUUCUAUUUUACUACUGUAUUAGUAUUGUCUUACUAGUGGCCAUGUUUACUUUACUCUGCAACUUGUAACUUGUAGUUAUCUAUCCAUGUGUUCGUCUGUGCUAAAAGAUUAAUAUAUACACUAGUACUAAAUAAAUCCCUCAGAUGUGGUAUUUAUAUGUUACCUGCUCUGCGAUUCCAUCUGUUUCCACCAUAACUAGGUACAGUUGCCAUCAUUUUUGUGUUCUGAUGGUGUUUGCAACUUUCAGAUCGCGUUCAUCCCGUUCAUCGUCGCCGGCGACCCCGACUUGGCGACCACGGCGAAGGCGCUAAAGGUUCUCGAUGCGUGUGGUUCUGAUGUGAUCGAAUUGGGCGUGCCGUACUCUGAUCCGUUGGCUGAUGGCCCUGUUAUUCAGGUACUCUACAAUGUUAAAUAUACACGUCCUGUAGGAUUGUGCUAUUGUAUUCUGUAUGUAGUGUUCAUGUUCUUCAGCUUAUGUGUUUUAACAUUAAUUUUUGAUCACAUCAUUUCAGGCUUCUGCUACACGCGCGCUGACAAAGGGCACCACAUUUGAGGAUGUUAUCUCCAUGGUGAAAGAGGUGGUGCCUGAGCUGUCCUGCCCUCUCGCGCUUUUCACAUAUUACAACCCGAUUCUGAAGCGCGGUGUCGCCAACUUCAUGUCUGUUGUAAAAGAAGCCGGUGUACAUGGUAAUGCCCUUAUAGUUUUCCAUAGGUUCAGUGAUGUUCUUCUACAUUGAAAUGCCAUUUCUACUCAUAUGGUCACCUUGUUAAUUAUCUGAAUUCUGAAACAUAGCAUUGUUUCUCCUGCAUAUCUUAGUUUCACUAGUGCAUAAGGUUUCAGGUAGGCGAUUGAGGAUUAAAAAGUUGCAUAACAGCAUACACAGAUACACACAACUAUAUUUUACACGACGUACAAUGAUAUUAGCAAUGUGGCACUUUCUUGCUGUUGUAAAGUUAUGUUCUCAUUGUAACAACCAAAUUACAUAUUUAUUACCAUGCUGCAGGUCUUGUGGUACCUGAUGUUCCUCUGGAAGAGACAGAUAUUUUGAGAAGCGAGGCUGCCAAGAACAACCUAGAGCUGGUAGGCUCCCUUUGGCAUUAUCAUCUAUCGUGUAUCCUACCUUUAUAACUGUUUCCUUUUUCCAUUUUUUGUGUCCAAGCCAAUUAGGGUUGAAUAUUCUCAUUAAAUCUCUAUCUUUGAAGAAAGACCCCGUUUAAAAUUUCUUAUUUAAGCUCUGAUGCAAAAUGAUGAGUUAUGCUUAUUAGCUCAUUGCUUUGCUGUAAUUUUAAACUAAAUAAUACCCAGCAUCAGGUGCUGAUUAGUCUGGAAUACUGAAGAUGCCUCUUUUGUUUGUGCAGCUGUUUACAUCAGUUUUGUUAUGUCUUAUAAGUUAUUUCAUUUGCAUGAAUGCCUGCAGGUGUUACUAACAACACCAACUACACCAACAGAAAGAAUGGAGAGAAUUACAAAGGCUUCAGAAGGAUUUGUUUAUCUUGUAAGUGUCCAGAGCUCCAAAUUAUUUUUGCUCCCUUAAACUCUGCUUCUCAUAUAGCACAUUGUCCUUAUCGCUCAUCAGAAAGUUCUCAUAAUGGCCAACGUAGUGUAUUUCAGAACUUAACAAGAGUACAGUACAGUAGUUUGUCAUUUUAAAUUUUGUUGAGGGAAUUUAUCACCUGAAGUUGACUUCAUAAACUUAAGAAAGGCACAUGUCUCUGUCCUGUCAUGCUUUUUCUCUUCAACAGAGGCUGGGUUGACAUGCUUUUGUGCUGACAUGUAUCCUGGUGCUAGCUGUGCUAAUUGCUCAACUGAAAAAUAUAAUGAAAUGUACACCACUGUUUACAAAGACUGAGACGCCUUGGUUAUGCUCUGUAAUUUCUCCAAUUGGCUUUGUGAAUCAUAAACAAAUGGAAUUCAGUUGACAUGUUGAGGUUGAGCAUUUGUGGUUCUACCGAACCUGUUUGAGCAUAACCAGUUACAUGAUACACUACUCGCUAAGUUGCAGUAAUAUUUGCUAUUCAGGUAAGCACUACUGGAGUUACUGGCACACGUGCAAACGUAAGUUUCAAGGUGGAAGCUCUUCUUAAGGAAAUCAAGCAGGUUUGCUAAGUCUUUUCUUUAUUGUUACUCAGUGAACUAGUUUUGGUCUCCUACCUUAUUGUGCAAUGCACAUCUUGUUCAACGUUGCUUAUAGAACAUGGUCUGCUUAUUUAUUAUAGGUCACAGAUAAAGCUGUUGCUGUCGGUUUUGGAGUGUCAACUCCAGAGCAGGUGAAGCAGGUAAAUCAUAUAUAUCCAGCAACUCUCAUGCUCGGCAAAAUAUCUUGUUUUAUCCUCCUUCCUUCGUUUGCGCAAUCUUUGACAAGUUUGUUACUUCACUAUUGUCUACAAAAAUUGCAGAUCGCGGGCUGGGGUGCAGAUGGUGUGAUCGUUGGUAGCGCAAUGGUGAGACAGUUGGGUGAAUCUGGUUCUCCUGAAGAAGGAUUGAAGAAGCUAGAAGAAUUAGCCAAGAGCCUAAAGGCCGCAUUUCCAUGAAACAUGCAUUUUUUUAUCUUUGUGGGGGAAAUCGCAUGAAUACCAUAUAUAUAUUUUUAGUUCUGUUUUACAGUGUAGCAUUACAUUCCUGGCUUUAGAUUUCGAAGGAUCCUGUUGUGUGAUAGAAUAAUUGUACCCAUGUGUUGAAUGCUCGGGUGAAUAAAUUAAUUGAGGCUAGUGUUACAAAUGAUACAAAAGAAAGCAUCUUUCUGUCCCAGUGCCAUUGCCAUUUCAAUGAUUUCCUGGGUUCUUAUUUUUCUAAACAGCAUUCCUCACUGU